rnacentral:rRNA from 1 species
CCUACGGGAGGCAGCAGUGGGGAAUAUUGCACAAUGGGGGAAACCCUGAUGCAGCGACGCCGCGUGAGUGAAGAAGUAAUUCGUUAUGUAAAGCUCUAUCAGCAGGGAAGAAAAUGACGGUACCUGAGUAAGAAGCCCCGGCUAACUACGUGCCAGCAGCCGCGGUAAUACGUAGGGGGCAAGCGUUAUCCAGAUUUACUGGGUGGAAAGGGAGCGUAGACGGCAGUGCAAGUCUGGAGUGAAGGGCGGGGGCUCACCCCCCGGACUGCUCUUGAAACUGUACGGCUGGAGUGCAGGAGAGGUAAGUGGAAUUCCUAGUGUAGCGGUGAAAUGCGUAGUUAGUAGGAGGGACACCAGUGGCGAAGGCGGCUUACUGGACUGUAACUGACGUUGAGGCUCGAAAGCGUGGGGAGCAAACAGGAUUAGAUACCCGUGUAGUC